ACGGAGGGUGCAAGCAUUAAUCGGAUUUAUUGGGCGUAAAGGGCGCGUAGGUGGGUUUGUAAGUCAAGUGUGAAAUUCCGGGGCUCAACUUCGGAACUGCACGUGAAACUACAAGUCUUGAGGAUUGGCGGAGAAAACGGAAUUCCACAAGUAGCGGUGAAAUGCGUAGAUAUGUGGAAGAACACCGGUGGCGAAGGCGGUUUUCUAGCUUAUUCCUGACACUGAGGCGCGAAAGCAAGGGGAUCAAACAGG
rnacentral:rRNA from 1 species